rnacentral:piRNA from 1 species
UUGGCCAUAACACAGCCCUUCCCCAGC